rnacentral:tRNA from 1 species
UCCCUGGUAGUAUAUCGGUUAGUACACGCGCCUGUCAUUUUCGAACGUGCGCGCGAAAGCGGGGUUCGACUCCCCGCCAGGGAG